rnacentral:rRNA from 1 species
CAGCGCCGCGGUAAUACGGAGGGUGCAAGCGUUAAUCGGAAUUACUGGGCGUAAAGCGCACGCAGGCGGUCUGUCAAGUCAGAUGUGAAAUCCCCGGGCUUAACCUGGGAACUGCAUUUGAAACUGGCAGGCUAGAGUCUUGUAGAGGGGGGUAGAAUUCCAGGUGUAGCGGUGAAAUGCGUAGAGAUCUGGAGGAAUACCGGUGGCGAAGGCGGCCCCCUGGACAAAGACUGACGCUUAUGCACGAAAGCGUGGGGAGCAAACAGGAUUAGAUACCCGUGUAGUCCCUGUCUCUUAUACA